UUCAAAAUCAGAAAUCAGGGUACUUCACCCCCCUUUCUCUCUCUCGGCCGCGACUCAGCUGCCUUCCGCCUCUUCUUCACGGCCUCUCACGCGAAUCGUCGUUCCUCUGUGUCGCCGGAGAGUCGCCAGCUUCGCCUCCUCUCUCAAUUUUCACGUAUCCUUUCCAAAUUCUUCAAAUUUCAAAAUCCCUAAAUUAGAAGAAUUAGCAGCGCAUAAUUCUCCUCUCUUCUUCUUACGGCGAAAUCGCCACCGGAAGUCCGCCCCCCACUGGUCUUCUCUCUCUCCGUCUAGUUUCCUCACUCAGCGAAGUCAUUGAUUGGGAAAAGGCAUCGCCUUUUCUCCGUGAGAAGCUGUCCUCGGUGCUGCGGGUACUCCCUCCUUCGGCGAAUUCGCGCCCGGAGUGGCCUUUCCCCCCUUCACAGAUCGGCAGGCGUGCCCGGCGACUCCCGCUCCUUCUUCCACGGCUUUCUCACACGCCGCCCUUCUCCGGUGCUCACAGCACCGCUGCCGGAGUCCAGCAGAGGCCGUCGUUGCUCCGCGAGGCUCCUGCUGUUGCUGCUGUUCGGGCGAGACUCAAGACGCGCCCCCGCCGUUCGUGCUACUGCUCCAGCGGCGUCGCCGCCUCCUCGCGAUAAAAAAAUUAUGCUAAGUCUUGUGGAAAUUCCUAUAGCAAGUCUAAGUUCUUGACUACUCGUUGUGGCUGCUCUAUAUGAUGCGAAGUGGGUGUUGGGUGUUGAGGUAAUUACCUCAGUCAGUGAAUCCUCUCGGUUCGCGGCUGUUCCCCCAUUUCGCCGCUGCCUCUCCUCGCCUUCUUGCUCCUCCCGUUUCCUUGCUGCACUCCUUGAUCUUGAGUGAAUUUGUGGUGUCAAAAGAAGAGGGGAGGGGAAAGGAGAUGGGGCUGCUUAUAUAGACCUCUUGUGUUGGAAACUUGGGGACAAAGACUCCCAUAUUUGGCUGCCAGCUCUAUCUCUUUUUUGGCAUCAUAUUUCUUUACUUAAUUGUGCAAGUCUUGGGGGCAAAGGCUUCUAUUUUUGGGGCUGCCAGCUUAUCUCUUCCUUGUGUUUAUCCAAUUGUAUACCAUUUUCGUGAUCCUUGGUGUUAUUGGAUGUCAAAUUUGGAGUCUUAUGGGAUGCCAAAUUCGAGAAGGAUGGGGAAGAGAAGAGAGUAGAGUUGAAGAUCUUGUACUGUAGAAAUGUAGCUUUGAAAGAAAUCUUAUUUGUAGCUCCAUGUAUCCAAUUUGUAUAGCAUGUGUUAAACUUUGUACUAAUUUAUUCUCUUUUCCUUAUUCCAAUAAUUGUAGUUUACAAACUUAAA